rnacentral:rRNA from 1 species
CAAUCGAACCCGGAGAUAGCUGGUUCUCCCCGAAAUAGCUUUAGGGCUAGCGUCGCAGCGAGAGAGCCGUGAAGGUAGAGCACUGAAUAUGCGAUGGCCGCAUCCCGCGGUACUGAGCAUAAUCAAACUCCGAAUGUCACGGUGUCAUCUGCGGCAGUCAGACGGCGAGUGAUAAGGUCCGUCGUCAAGAGGGAAACAGCCCAGACCAUCAGCUAAGGUCCCAAAGUGCAUGCUAAGUGGAAAAGGAAGUGGAGACGUGCAGACAACUAGGAGGUUGGCUCAGAAGCAGCCAUCCUUCAAAGAGUGCGUAACAGCUCACUAGUCGAAUGACUCUGCGCCGAUAAUUUACCGGGGCUAAGCAUGACACCGAAGCUAUGGACAGGAAUGUGGUAGGGGAGCAUUGCAUGCAGCGGAGAAGCAUGACCGGGAGGGCAUGUGGAGCGCAUGGAAGAGAGAAUGCCGGCGUGAGUAGCGGCACGUGGGUGAGAAUCCCACGCACCGAUGGCCCAAGGUCUCCAGAGGAAGGCUCGUCCUCUCUGGGAUAGUCGGGACCUAAGGCGAGGCCGAAAGGCGUAGCCGAUGGACGACGGGUGGAUAUUCCCGUACCCGAUGUGUGGCGAUGGAGUGACGGAGAAGGCUCAGGCAACCAGCUGCUGGAAUAGCUGGGGCAAGCGAGAUACCUGCGCACCAGGGAAAUCCGGUGCGCAUAAGGGGAAGGCGCGAUGCAUACGGAAAGCUUCGGCAAGUACGGAAAAGCUGAGAGCAGGCUUCCAGGAAAAGCUUCUAGCACAACACACAUCGGCCCGUACCGAAAAUGGACACACAUGGGCAAGGAGAGAAUCCUGAGGUGAGCGAGAGAACUAUAGCUAAGGAACUCUGCAAAAUGACCCCGUAACUUAGGGAGAAGGGGUGCUCCAGAAAUGGAGCCGCAGUAAAACGGCCCAAGCGACUGUUUACCAAAAACACAGCUCUCUGCGAAGGCGCAAGCCGAAGUAUAGGGGGUGACGCCUGCCCGGUGCUGGAAGGUCAAGGGGAGCUGUCAGCGCAAGCGAAGCAGCGAGCCGAAGCCCCAGUAAACGGCGGCCGUAACUAUAACGGUCCUAAGGUAGCGAAAUUCCUUGUCGGGCAAGUUCCGACCCGCACGAAAGGCGUAACGAUUUGGGCGCUGUCUCAGCUGUAGACUCGGUGAAGUCUUAGUACCUGUGAAGAUGCAGGUUGCCCGCGACUAGACGGAAAGACCCCAUGGAGCUUCACUGCAGGUUGACAUUGGGCUUGGAUGCAUGAUGUACAGGAUAGGUGGGAGGCUGUGAGCCGUGCGCGCCAGCGUACGGGGAGCCGCUGUUGGGAUACCACCCUUCAUGCAUCUAGGUCCUAACCGGAGGCAACGGGCCACGGGACAGUGUCAGUCGGGCAGUUUGACUGGGGCGGUCGCCUCCCAAAGAGUAACGGAGGCGCCCAAAGAUACCCUCAGCAUGGAUGGAAACCAUGCAUAGAGUGCAAAGGCAUAAGGGUGUCUGACUGCGAGACAUACAGGUCGAGCAGGGACGAAAGUCGGGCUUAGUGAUCCGGCGGAUCCGAAUGGAAGGGCCGUCGCUCAACGGAUAAAAGCUACCCUGGGGAUAACAGGCUGAUCUCCCCCAAGAGUUCACAUCGACGGGGAGGUUUGGCACCUCGAUGUCGGCUCAUCGCAUCCUGGAGCUGAAGUCGGUUCCAAGGGUUGGGCUGUUCGCCCAUUAAAGCGGUACGCGAGCUGGGUUCAGAACGUCGUGAGACAGUUCGGUCCCUAUCUGUCGUGGGCGCAGGAGGUUUGAGGAGAGCUGCCCCUAGUACGAGAGGACCGGGGUGGACGGACCGAUGGUGCACCAGUUGUCACGCCAGUGGCACAGCUGGGCAGCCAAGUCCGGACGGGAUAAGCGCUGAAGGCAUCUAAGCGUGAAGCCCCCUCCAAGAUGAGACCUCCCAUUGGCGACAAGUAAGGCCCCUCGAAGACGACGAGGUUGAUAGGCCGCGAGUGCAAGCGCAGCGAUGUGCUUAGCGGGGCGGUACUAAUAGGCCGAGGACUUGGCCAA